rnacentral:rRNA from 1 species
AGCGAACGCUGGCGGCAGGCUUAACACAUGCAAGUCGAACGCCCCGCAAGGGGAGUGGCAGACGGGUGAGUAACACGUGGGAACGUACCCUUUGGUUCGGAAUAACUUGGGGAAACUCAAGCUAAUACCGGAUAAGCCCUUAUGGGGAAAGGUUUACUGCCGAAGGAUCGGCCAGCGUCUGAUUAGCUAGUUGGUGAGGUAAUGGCUCACCAAGGCGACGAUCAGUAGCUGGUCUGAGAGGAUGAUCAGCCACACUGGGACUGAGACACGGCCCAGACUCCUACGGGAGGCAGCAGUGGGGAAUAUUGGACAAUGGGGGCAACCCUGAUCCAGCCAUGCCGCGUGAGUGAUGAAGGCCUUAGGGUUGUAAAGCUCUUUUACCCGGGACGAUAAUGACUGUACCGGGAGAAUAAGCCCCGGCUAACUCCGUGCCAGCCGCCGCGGUAA